GCACUGGUCGUCUAGUGGCAAAGACCCCGCCUUCGUAACGCGGAUACGAGAGUUCGAGUCUCUCCCGGUGCU
rnacentral:tRNA from 1 species